GGUUUAUUUCGGGGGGGGUGGUAUUUUUGUUGAUGUUGCUGUUGUUUUCUGUUUGUUAGCUUUUUUUUCUAACAGUCAGGCCCCUCUUCUGCAGGUCUGCUGCAGUUUGCUCCAUGCAUCAACCUGCUCCAUGGGACAUACCUGGAUUAUUUUCCCAGUACUGACACUGGUGCCCACAAUACCACCUGCAAGUCAGCAGAGCAGAGCUCAGUAGGACAAACAUCAGCUCUCCUGCAGGACUGUCUACACCUGGAGUAGAAACCACAGCCACUGCCACGCUGGUCCAUAGGUCUGGCCAACUAAGCUUGCAGUUGUGCCAUUCACUGACCAGGCUCAGUGCCCCAACGUGCUCUCCCACACAGGAAGCUCUGGAUCCUCAGAAAAGGCUUGAAAAGAACUGAAAGGUGUUCCUCUGGGAUGUCAUUCAUGUCAAGUGCAUCAGCAGCCCAGAAGGAUCUCCUUCCUCACUACAGACCCCAAGCUAAUUACACAAGGUUUUAACAAGAUGAAUUAUUGAUUUACCGUCCACUGCCUCAAACCAGUGUCUUGGAAAUGAACACCAGAGCCUGAGAGCAGGAGGGCUCAUUCUAUGAAUAUGUGCAGGGCAAGUGACACGCUCCGUGGCCUCCUGAGUUCUGUGAAGACCUCUCCAGAGUCCGUCCUUGCCUGCUACCCGGGGCCAGACGUCCCUAAAGAGCCCACUGCCCAGCGCUCAGGGCUGUGAAGAUGGUGACCGAGGAGGGGCCGUCCCACCCUGAGGAGUGGGAGUGAGUAGGUGUCAUCUUCAGGCUUGUUGCGGGUAGGGGGCUGCCAUUAUCACACCGUCACCUUCGGACGGAAGAUAAAGGACGCGCCCCCAACACAAAGGGCGAGGGAGGCCCUGCAGCCCUGGGCGCUGAAUCCUUCUCCAUAUUCCAGGGCACAGAGCAGGAUGAGGUGAAGGAUGCUGCAGAGGUGCGGAGGUCCCAGGGAAGAAGGCGGAGGAGCAGACGGGGGCGCCUCUAGCACUUCCUUCUGUCUGGGUGUGGCCUGAACUCUACAUCUCACCUGCCCAGCGACUCGGGGCAGAGGAUACGUGGUUUGUGCCCAUUUACAGCUUUUCAACCUGCUAAUCCUCCAUCGGGAAAUAUUGCUUGUCCACAGAAAGUUGCCUUGCCUCUCGCGAAUGUGAAAGACAAGCC
rnacentral:lncRNA from 1 species